rnacentral:sRNA from 1 species
GGAGGGAGGGACUGGGAUGGGAAUUUGUACUCGUAGCUUAAAGGGACACUAGGCUAUCUCUUCUCUGGCCCAGACACCACCUCCUGAGCAAGGCGAGUGCUGGUUCCAGAACCCUCAGCCCAACAGAGCCAGUGACCCAACCUGGGAUCCAAUUUUGGUGGUCCGUUUGUCAUUCCAGUGGCCUUGAACUGAGCGACCAGGGAGUAGCCAAGGAGGAUUUCUUGAGCUCCAGAGAUGAGCCAGUGUGCACUUGGGCGGUUCUUGGAAGAGUGAGGAGACAGCCUGUCAGCCUCUGCUCAUUAACCUAAGGACCAUGUGACCAGUGAGGUGGCCAUCUUGUGGUUUGGUCUGCAUUAUUUGUUGGAAAAAUGCCACAAGAAGAUCACACUGGGAUAUAGAAGUUUCUGGCGAAUACUUAGCCAGGUAGCCUUUUGUGGCCAGAUUGGUCUACAAAGAGAAACAGCAUUUUGGAAAAGUGAAAUACCUUUGUAACCUAACCUGCAAUUGGUUCAAUAAAGACUUCAAAUUUAAAAAAAAAAAAAAA